CGCGCAGGCGGCUAUUUUUGUCAGGCGUGAAAGCCCCGGGCUUAACCUGGGAACUGCGCUUGAAACGGGAUGGCUAGAGAUCGGGAGAGGAGAGUGGAAUUCCCAGUGUAGAGGUGAAAUUCGUAGAUAUUGGGAAGAACACCGGUGGCGAAGGCGGCUCUCUGGACCGAUACUGACGCUGAGGCGCGAAAGCGUGGGGAGCAAACA
rnacentral:rRNA from 1 species